GAUGAACGCUGGCGGCGUGCCUAAUACAUGCAAGUCGAGCGAACGGACGAGAAGCUUGCUUCUCUGAUGUUAGCGGCGGACGGGUGAGUAACACGUGGAUAACCUACCUAUAAGACUGGGAUAACUUCGGGAAACCGUAGCUAAUACCGGAUAAUAUUUUGAACCGCAUGGUUCAAAAGUGAAAGACGGUCUUGCUGUCACUUAUAGAUGGAUCCGCGCUGCAUUAGAUAGUUGGUAAGGUAACGGCUUACCAAGGCAACGAUGCAUAGCCGACCUGAGAGGGUGAUCGGCCACACUGGAACUGAGACACGGUCCAGACUCCUACGGGAGGCAGCAGUAGGGAAUCUUCCGCAAUGGGCGAAAGCCUGACGGAGCAACGCCGCGUGAGUGAUGAAGGUCUUCGGAUCGUAAAACUCUGUUAUUAGGGAAGAACAUAUGUGUAAGUAACUGUGCACAUCUUGACGGUACCUAAUCAGAAAGCCACGGCUAACUACGUG
rnacentral:rRNA from 1 species